rnacentral:rRNA from 1 species
UACGUAGGUGGCAAGCGUUGUCCGGAUUUACUGGGCGUAAAGAGCGCGCAGGCGGUCGGCCAAGUCGAGUGUGAAAGCCCCCGGCUCAACUGGGGAGGGUCAUUCGAUACUGGUCGACUCGAAGGCAGGAGAGGGAAGCGGAAUUCCCGGUGUAGUGGUGAAAUGCGUAGAUAUCGGGAGGAACACCAGUGGCGAAGGCGGCUUCCUGGCCUGUUCUUGACGCUGAGG